CAGCAGCCGCGGUAAUACGAAGGGGGCUAGCGUUGUUCGGAUUUACUGGGCGUAAAGCGUGCGUAGGCGGCUUCUUAAGUCGGAUGUGAAAUCCCUGAGCUUAACUUAGGAAUUGCAUUCGAUACUGGGAAGCUAGAGUAUGGGAGAGGAUGGUAGAAUUCCAGGUGUAGCGGUGAAAUGCGUAGAGAUCUGGAGGAAUACCGAUGGCGAAGGCAGCCAUCUGGCCUAAUACUGACGCUGAGGUACGAAAGCAUGGGGAGCAAACAGGAUUAGAUACCCCGGUAGUCCCUGUCUCUUAUAC
rnacentral:rRNA from 1 species